rnacentral:rRNA from 1 species
GCCCAGACUCCUACGGGAGGCAGCAGUGGGGAAUAUUGCACAAUGGGGGGAACCCUGAUGCAGCGACGCCGCGUGAGUGAAGAAGUAUUUCGGUAUGUAAAGCUCUAUCAGCAGGGAAGAAAAUGACGGUACCUGAGUAAGAAGCACCGGCUAAAUACGUGCCAGCAGCCGCGGUAAUACGUAUGGUGCAAGCGUUAUCCGGAUUUACUGGGUGUAAAGGGAGCGCAGGCGGCACGGCAAGCCUGAUGUGAAAGCCCGCGGCCCAACCGCGGGACUGCAUUGGGAACUACCGGGCUGGAGUGCCGGAGAGGUAGGCGGAAUUCCUAGUGUAGCGGUGAAAUGCGUAGAUAUUAGGAGGAACACCAGUGGCGAAGGCGGCCUGCUGGACGAUGACUGACGUUGAGGCUCGAAAGCGUGGGGAGCAAACAGGAUUAGAUACCCCAGUA